rnacentral:rRNA from 1 species
UACAGAGGUGACAAACGUUGUCCGGAAUUAUUGGGCGUAAAGGGCGCGUAGGUGGUUGAGUAAGUCAGGUGUGAAAGCUCUGGGCUUAACCCAGGAAUUGCAUCUGAUACUGCUAGGCUUGAGUACGGUAGAGGAGGGUGGAAUUCCCAGUGUAGCGGUGAAAUGCGUAGAUAUUGGGAGGAACACCGGUGGCGAAGGCGGCAUCCUGGACCGACACUGACGCUGAGGAGCGAAAGCCAGGGGAGCAAACGGG